rnacentral:rRNA from 1 species
GACGUAGGGGGCAAGCGUUGUUCGGAAUUAUUGGGCGUAAAGGGUGCGUAGGCGGUCUGAUAAGUCAUCUGUGAAAUCUAUGGGCUCAACCCAUAGUCUGCAGGCGAAACUGUCGGGCUUGAGUAUGGGAGAGGUGGGUGGAAUUUCCGGUGUAGCGGUGAAAUGCGUAGAUAUCGGAAGGAACACCUGUGGCGAAAGCGGCUCACUGGACCAUUACUGACGCUGAUGCACGAAAGCUAGGGGAGCAAACAGG